GAGGUAGAGCAAAUCUCAAAAAAACAAUCUCAGUUCAGACUGCAGGCUGCAACUCGCCUGCACGAAGUCGGAAUUGCUAGUAAUCGUAGGUCAGCAUACUACGGUGAAUACGUUCCCGGGCCUUGUACACACCGCCCGUCAAACCAUGAGAGUUGGCAACACCCGAAGUCGGUAGUCUAACCGCAAGGAGGACGCCGCCGAAGGUGGGGUUGAUGAUUAGGGUUAAGUCGUAACAAGGUACC
rnacentral:rRNA from 1 species